GAAUUUGAAUUGCAUGGUGCCUUAGUCCGUCAUGAUAGAAACUAAGGGUUGACAAAAUUGUGGGUAAGAAGGCCUUAUGGAAGCAUAAUGUCUAUGGAUUGACCCCUACAAUUGGCUCUGCAAACCAUUUAUUGCAAUAUGCUAAAGAGCACAAAGAUGCUACCCUCAUGCAGGAAGUUAUGAAGCUUUUGAAGAUGAAUAACUUGCCGUUGCAACCCAGCACAGCCGAUAUUGUUUUCAGCAUUUGUUAUGAUACAGACAAUUGAGGGUUGGUCACAAAGUAUUUGAAGAGAUUUGUCAAGGUUGGGGUGAAAUUGCAUAGAGCUGCAUUUGAUAUCUGGAUGGAGUUUGCUGCAAAAGC